rnacentral:lncRNA from 1 species
UAAUUGGUUUAAUCAUAAGGAGAGAUAAUGGUGGUGAGAAGCGUCUUCCAUCUCCAUAACUAAUCUAUUGAAUCAACCCAAAAGAACAAAGUGUCUGUGAUCAAUCCCAACAACUAAAGUGGAUCCAAUACUUCAACUAGAGCUUUCUCAUUAUUGAUUACUUUUUAUUUAAUUAUUUGCUUUCCAUUAUUUUUCUCAUUAUUAGUUUACUGCAAUCAAUCUCAAACUCCC